UAUAUGGAUAAGUUUGAUGUGGGGAACAUUGGGCCAUGAUGAGGAGGUUGAUGCUAUCUGGAAUGCACCAACAAUGAUGAUCUGGUUGGACUUUGGAACCCUACUCAAAGCUAAGGCUAGCUAAGGCUGUGUAGCCAAUGCCCAGUUGCAAUGUCCCAGUCAGAACUCAGAGUCUCAUUCAGAGCAUAUAGGCAAGGCUCACCUGCUCCCCUUACAAAUUCAUCUUAUAUCUAGUUUCUGCUUCUGUUCCCAAACUUGAGGACAAAAACCAUCAAAUUCUUUGAUCCUCUGUGAUCUAUAGUCCAACAGAUAUGAGCAUUUUGAGGGCUAUGAAUCAAGACAUAUAUAGCUGGCUUGAGGAACCUCCCACAUGUAGAUAGAAAUUAAGAAGGUUUGUUGUCUCUGCCUUACUUUACCAGAAGUGGUUGGCAGAACACCAAGUCAAAGAGACUCAAAAUGCAUCUUGAAAUUUCCAAAGAAAAUGGUCUUUGGGAUUAAGUUUGCAGGGCUGAUAUGCUUGGUGUUCUGUUCAUGCCUGUACAUUCUUAAUUUCUUCCUGUCCUUUUGGUGUGUAUGGUUCUGUUUUGCUUCUUAAA